rnacentral:rRNA from 1 species
AUUGAACGCUGGCGGCAGGCCUAACACAUGCAAGUCGAGCGGGAACUCCGGUUCUAGCGGCGGACGGGUGAGUAAUGCGUAGGAAGCUACCCGAUAGAGGGGGAUACCAGUUGGAAACGACUGUUAAUACCGCAUAAUGUCUACGGACCAAAGUGUGGGACCUUCGGGCCACAUGCUAUCGGAUGCGCCUACGUGGGAUUAGCUAGUUGGUGAGGUAAUGGCUCACCAAGGCGACGAUCCCUAGCUGGUUUGAGAGGAUGAUCAGCCACACUGGAACUGAGACACGGUCCAGACUCCUACGGGAGGCAGCAGUGGGGAAUAUUGGACAAUGGGCGCAAGCCUGAUCCAGCCAUGCCGCGUGUGUGAAGAAGGCCUUCGGGUUGUAAAGCACUUUCAGCGAGGAGGAAGGGUUGUGUGUUAAUAGUACACAGCCUUGACGUUACUCGCAGAAGAAGCACCGGCUAACUCUGUGCCAGCAGCCGCCGUAACAC